rnacentral:rRNA from 1 species
GUGGGGAAUUUUGGACAAUGGGCGCAAGCCUGAUCCAGCAAUGCCGCGUGCAGGAAGAAGGCCUUCGGGUUGUAAACUGCUUUUGUACGGAACGAAACGGUCCGGGUUAAUACCCUGGGCUAAUGACGGUACCGUAAGAAUAAGCACCGGCUAACUACGUGCCAGCAGCCGCGGUAAUACGUAGGGUGCAAGCGUUAAUCGGAAUUACUGGGCGUAAAGCGUGCGCAGGCGGUUUUGUAAGAUAGGCGUGAAAUCCCCGGGCUCAACCUGGGAAUUGCGCUUGUGACUGCAAGGCUGGAGUGCGGCAGAGGGGGAUGGAAUUCCGCGUGUAGCAGUGAAAUGCGUAGAUAUGCGGAGGAACACCGAUGGCGAAGGCAAUCCCCUGGGCCUGCACUGACGCUCAUGCACGAAAGCGUGGGGAGCAAACAGGAUUAGAAACCCGUGUAGUCC